rnacentral:rRNA from 1 species
GACGAACGCUGGCGGCGUGCUUAACACAUGCAAGUCGAACGGAAAGGCCCUGCUUUUGUGGGGUGCUCGAGUGGCGAACGGGUGAGUAACACGUGAGUAACCUGCCCUUGACUUUGGGAUAACUUCAGGAAACUGGGGCUAAUACCGGAUAGGAGCUCCUGCUGCAUGGUGGGGGUUGGAAAGUUUCGGCGGUUGGGGAUGGACUCGCGGCUUAUCAGCUUGUUGGUGGGGUAGUGGCUUACCAAGGCUUUGACGGGUAGCCGGCCUGAGAGGGUGACCGGCCACAUUGGGACUGAGAUACGGCCCAGACUCCUACGGGAGGCAGCAGUGGGGAAUAUUGCACAAUGGGCGGAAGCCUGAUUCAGCAACGCCGCGUGCGGGAUUACGGCCUUCGGGUUGUAAACCGCUUUCGCCUGGGACGAAGCGUGAGUGACGGUAAUGGGUAAAGAAGCACCGGCUAACUACGUG